rnacentral:rRNA from 1 species
AUUGAACGCUGGCGGCAGGCCUAACACAUACAAGUCGAGCGGCAGCGGGAAAGUAGCUUGCUACUUUUGCCGGCGAGCGGCGGACGGGUGAGUAAUGCCUGGGAAAUUGCCCAGUCGAGGGGGAUAACAGUUGGAAACGACUGCUAAUACCGCAUACACCCUACGGGGGAAAGCAGGGGACCUUCUGGCCUUGCGCGAUUGGAUAUGCCCAGGUGGGAUUAGCUAGUUGGUGAGGUAAUGGCUCACCAAGGCGACGAUCCCUAGCUGGUCUGAGAGGAUGAUCAGCCACACUGGAACUGAGACACGGUCCAGACUCCUACGGGAGGCAGCAGUGGGGAAUAUUGCACAAUGGGGGAAACCCUGAUGCAGCCAUGCCGCGUGUGUGAAGAAGGCCUUCGGGUUGUAAAGCACUUUCAGCGAGGAGGAAAGGUUGUUGGCUAAUAUCCAACAGCUGUGACGUUACUCGCAGAAGAAGCACCGGCUAACUCCGUGCCAGCCGCCGCGGUAACAC